rnacentral:misc_RNA from 1 species
GAUGCCUAUGAGUAUAUGGUCGAUUACUCCCAGACCAACAAGCAGGCGGGGCGGUUGGAGAAUGUUGUUGGAUGGUAUCAUUCUCAUCCUGGAUAUGGAUGCUGGCUCUCGGGUAUUGAUGUUUCAACUCAAAUGCUCAAUCAGCAGUUUCAAGAACCCUUUUUGGCGGUUGUUAUUGAUCCAACAAGAACUGUAUCAGCUGGUAAAGUUGAGAUUGGGGCAUUCAGGACAUACCCAGAAGGAUAUAAGCCUCCAGAUGAUCCUGUCUCUGAAUAUCAGACCAUUCCUCUUAAUAAGAUUGAAGACUUUGGGGUGCAUUGCAAGCAGUAUUAUGCUUUGGAUAUCAC